rnacentral:tRNA from 2 species
GCGGGCGUAACUCAGUGGUAGAGUGCCACCUUGCCAAGGUGGAUGUCGAGGGUUCGAAUCCCUUCGCCCGCU